GUAAUAAUAAUUGGUAAAAACUCUGCAGCAGGCACUUUUUAAGUGUAUUGCAGUUCUAUUUGCGCUACACUCUAUAUUGAUUUAGGUGCAACUAGUGAACUAGUACUGGUGAAUAUCACAUAGCAAUUGGCAUACUACAAAUAUGAGAUCAUGAUACUUUAUCUUCCUACGUUGAGACAUCUACUGAAGCAAGUACUUCUUCUGCUAAGUCCCUGUAACUUGUCAAGUCAAAUAUUUAUUAAUACCUGAUUGAGGAUGUGUUCAUUUCUGUUGGAGCUAGCAAUAUUCAUAGAAACUGCCAUGUUUUUGAGUUUUCAAACCAUGCCAAUGUUGUUCUGUUAAUUAGAUGUAUAUCUAGAGCUAAUUUCACAUUUUCUAUUUUCAACAGCUCAGAGCUUUCAAGCUCAUAAUCUUCAUGAAACUCAGAUAUUUGCCAAAAUUGAGACAGUGGAGGGAUUGAGACAUUUUGAUGAGAUCCUUCAGGAAGCAGAUGGUGUUAUCCUCUCUCGCGGGAAUUUAGGAAUUGACUUAGCCCCAGAAAAGGUGUGUAUAGAUGGAACUAUCACCAUUAACCUUAGACAGAUCUUACCUUUCUC